AUUCCAGCUCCAAUAGCGUAUAUUAAAGUUGUUGCGGUUAAAAAGCUCGUAGUUGGAUUUCUGCUGAGGACGACUGGUCCGCCCCCUGGGUGAGCAUCUGGUUCGGCCUGGGCAUCUUCUUGGGGAACGUAUCUGCACUUGAUUGUGUGGUGCGGUAUCCAGGACUUUUACUUUGAGGAAAUUAGAGUGUUUCAAGCAGGCCCGCGCCUUGAAUACAUUAGCAUGGAAUAAUAAGAUAGGACCUCGGUUCUAUUUUGUUGGUUUCUAGAGCUGAGGUAAUGAUUAAUAGGGAUAGUUGGGGGCACUCGUAUUCCGCCGAGAGGGGUGAAAUUCUCAGACCAGCGGAAGACGAACCACUGCGAAAGCAUUUGCCAGGGAUGUUUUCAUUG
rnacentral:rRNA from 1 species